rnacentral:tRNA from 1 species
ACGCUCGUAGCUCAGAGGAUAGAGCAGUAGUUUCCGAAGCUGAAGGUCGAGGGUUCAAUUCCCUCCGAGCGUA